ACCGGAUUAGUGCAGUGGUAACAUACCUCGGUUUCAUCGAGUAGCCCCAGGUUCGAAUCCUGGAUCCGGUA
rnacentral:tRNA from 1 species